UCAAAUUCAAUUAGAGAGGGAGGGAAGAUGGAUUUGGAUUCCGUGGACCCCCCCUUUUCUAGUUUCCUUCUUAUCCACCUGUGCACUCUUUGUAGGCCCUCGCAAGAGGAUCUAUGUCUUUCUUAUCUACGCUUUAUGCUAUCUGUAUGUCCAGAACGUAUACAAACUUUACAACUUUCAGCAAUGGAUCUCUUGGCUCUCGCAUCGAUGAAAGAACGCAGCGAAUCGCGAUAUGUAAUGUGAAUUGCAGAUUUUCAGUGAAUCAUCGAAUCUUUGAACGCACCUUGCGCUCCUUGGUAUUCCGAGGAGCAUGCCUGUUUGAGUGUCAUCGAAUUCUCAACCGUGUCUUGAUUUAAGCAUGGCUUGGACUUGGGGGUUGCCGGCCCCGUGUCAGCUCUCCUGAAAUGUAUUAGCGAUGGUCAGCAACCCUGACGUGCACGGCCUUUUCGACGUGAUAAUGAUCGUCGUGGGCUGGAGCGUAGGGCGAGCGGUGAAUCGCUUCCAAUCUCUUUAGACUUUUGGUCCUUUNAGAGACUACUUCAGUUACUAGUCGGUCAUGAGGCUGACGAACACGAGGGAAACUUCAAGGAUCAUGGUCUUUCCAUCUUGAUCUUGGACCUUUGAGAGAAUCCAAGCCUUUAGUUACUAGUCUGUCGACGAACGCAGNGUUUAGGUCUCUCUCAUCUGGAUCUGGAUCUCGAACUC
rnacentral:rRNA from 1 species